ensembl:lncRNA
CGCCCCUCAAACACGCCCCCGACCUGGGACCGAGGCUGCAGGAAGUGGUGAGCUGCGGCCUGAGAACUAGAGAUUCCACAUCAAUGAGCCAAUGAGGAUUACUAGUGGGAUCCAAGGCCCGGAAUCAAUCAAGUAUUUCUUGAGUAAUUCUAUCUUCCUCCUUGUGGAAUCCUAAAAAUGGACAGAUACAGUGCCUGUCCAUUAGGAAAUUCUGCUCUAAGUGGGGAGUCUAGCCAGGAAACAAAAAUACUGUAGGGGUUUCAAUCCGAAGGAAUCUAAUGCACGUUCCAGAGGGAAUGGGAGAGCUAAGGCACUGAAUGGGACAGAAAGGAGACGAGAGAGGAAGUAGCAGCAGCAAGAAGCCUGUGCUAUGUCCAGGACGGAGGGACAGAGAAAAGAUGAUGAUGUCAGAGCCCUGAAGCCAAGCCAUGUGACAAGAUCUAGAGUCACAGCGGAGGCUGAGCAGGAGAGGUAGCUCCAUGUUGGGAGGGGCAGCCCAGCAGGAUCUGGGCUCAUGAAUGAGACACAGCUGCUGCCAGGAACACCACCUGUAGCAGGCAGAGAGGGGCAGAAAAACCCUGGACUCGCCCCUCCUCCUGCCUCCAUCUUCUGCCAGUGCCUCCCAUUGGCCAAACCCAUUAAGAAGCUGGAAGAGAAAAGAACUGAUGCAUAGAGAGAUAAAUAGUUUGUCCAAAACCAUGCAAGGUAACCAACAAAGAUGUACUGUAUAGCACAAGGAACUAUACUCAAGUAAUAACCUAUAAGAGAAAAGAAUCUGAAAAAAACAUAUAUGUAUGUAUAACUCAAUCACAUUGCUGUAUACCUGAAAUAAAAA